CCCUUAGAUGUUCUGGGCCGCACGCGCGCUACAAUGAUGAAUUCAACGAGUUUAUAACCUUGGUUGAAAAGCCUGGGUAAUCUUUUGAACUUUCGUCGUGAUGGGGCUAGACCCUUGCAAUUAUUGGUCUCCAACGAGGAAUUCCUAGUAAACGCAAGUCAUCAGCUUGCAUUGAUUACGUCCCUGCCCUUUGUACACACCGCCCGUCGCACCUACCGAUUGAAUGGUCCGGUGAAAUCUUCGGAUUUAGACUUUGAUUUCUUCACGGAAAACGCUGUUUUAAGAAGUUGAUUAAACCUUACCAUUUAGAGGAAGGUGAAGUCGUAACA
rnacentral:rRNA from 1 species